rnacentral:rRNA from 1 species
AAUCCAUAGGUUAAUGAGGCGAACCGGGGGAACUGAAACAUCUAAGUACCCCGAGGAAAAGAAAUCAACCGAGAUUCCCCCAGUAGCGGCGAGCGAACGGGGAGGAGCCCAGAGCCUGAAUCAGCAUGUGUGUUAGUGGAAGCGUCUGGAAAGGCGCGCGAUACAGGGUGACAGCCCCGUACACAAAAGCGCAUGUGCUGUGAGCUCGAUGAGUAGGGCGGGACACGUGGUAUCCUGUCUGAAUAUGGGGGGACCAUCCUCCAAGGCUAAAUACUCCUGACUGACCGAUAGUGAACCAGUACCGUGAGGGAAAGGCGAAAAGAACCCCGGCGAGGGGAGUGAAAAAGAACCUGAAACCGUGUACGUACAAGCAGUGGGAGCACAGGUUUACCUGUGUGACUGCGUACCUUUUGUAUAAUGGGUCAGCGACUUAUAUUCUGUAGCAAGGUUAACCGAAUAGGGGAGCCGGAGGGAAACCGAGUCUUAAUUGGGCGUUAAGUUGCAGGGUAUAGACCCGAAACCCGGUGAUCUAGCCAUGGGCAGGUUGAAGGUUGGGUAACACUAACUGGAGGACCGAACCGACUAAUGUUGAAAAAUUAGCGGAUGACCUGUGGCUGGGGGUGAAAGGCCAAUCAAACCGGGAGAUAGCUGGUUCUCCCCGAAAGCUAUUUAGGUAGCGCCUCGUGAAUUCAUCUCCGGGGGUAGAGCACUGUUUCGGCUAGGGG